rnacentral:rRNA from 1 species
UACGGAGGGUGCAAACGUUGCUCGGAAUCAUUGGGCGUAAAGCGCACGUAGGCGGUUCGCUAUGUCGGAUGUGAAAGCCCUCGGCUUAACCGAGGAAGGGCAUCCGAAACUGGCGGGCUUGAGUACGGAAGAGGGUCUCGGAAUUCCCGGUGUAGAGGUGAAAUGCGUAGAUAUCGGGAGGAACACCUGUGGCGAAGGCGGCUCACUGGCCCGGUACUGACGCUGAGGUGCGAAAGCGUGGGGAGCAAACAGG